AAAUUAGGAUUUACUUAAAAUGGUUUAUAGUUGAAUUAGGAAACAUUGAAAAAUAGUGGUGAAGGAAGUUUAGUUUUGACCAAAUAGUGAAGAAAAAGUUAAGGGAUGAAAUAGUAAUUUUAUAUUUUGAAGUAAAAUGAAAAAAAAAAUAGGGAAAACUUCAAAAACCCCCGCUUGUGGUUUCCAACUUUCUCACUUUAGUACCCUGUGAUUUAAAGUGUAUCAAUUUGCCCCCCUGUGGUUUUGUUUUUAUUUUUUCUAUAGUUUUUCUUAAUAUUUCGUUAAAUUAUAUGCAAAAAAACAUCAGAUAUCUAUCUAGAUUUACCGAAUAUUUACUUUAGUACCCUUUAAUUUUAAUUUUGUUACUAAUUUGAGAAAAAAAUAAUAAAAUUGAUAAAAAAAAGAGAAAAACGAAACCACAGGGGGCAAAUUGAUACACAUUAAACCACAGAGUACGAAAAUGAGAAAGUUGGAAACCACAAUGGGGGUUUUUGAAGUUAUCCCAAAAAAAUAUAUGUUAAGUUGAUUGAUGUUAGCACAAGCUAAGGAAAGGGCAAGGAAAGGAUAUUUAUAAGAGAAACUCGUGAAUUUUCAAAAAUUCCAACAGUAUUUAUGCUAUAUCAUAACUUGAUGAGGCUACAAAUGAUUAUUAAACAAGCACUCUAGGUACACUUCAAAUAAGAAUAUACAUCUUAUAGCUAUUUCACUCCAAAAUUAUUAGUGUUCUAUAAGAACAAUGCUACAUGUACAUCCUAUCAGAAAUGCACAAAUUACACUCUAUCCAUCCAAUGAGUGUAGUGUUAACCACUAAUCAUAUCAUAUGACUGAUGUACACACACUCUCCCAUCCAUUAGACGAAUGACGUGUAGGAUGUACAGCCCACUUUGAUGGGGUGUACAUAUAGUAUUGCUCAUACUAUAUUUAUCACAUCAAAUUUUUUUAUUUUUAAUAAAAAAUAUUUAAAUAUUUGUCAAUUUAAGAAUAUAAUAUAUAUAGGGUGAAAUAUCUAUUUUUUUUUUUCUUUGAUGUUAA
rnacentral:lncRNA from 1 species